rnacentral:rRNA from 1 species
UGGGGAAUCUUGCGCAAUGGGCGAAAGCCUGACGCAGCGACGCCGCGUGAGUGAUGAAGGCCUUCGGGUUGUAAAGCUCUGUGGGGAGAGACGAAUAAGUGCAGGCUAAUACCCGGCAUGAUGACGGUAUCUCCUUAGCAAGCACCGGCUAACUCUGUGCCAGCAGCCGCGGUAAGACAGAGGGUGCAAACGUUGUUCGGAAUUACUGGGCGUAAAGCGUGUGUAGGCGGCCAUAUAAGUCGGAUGUGAAAGCCCUGGGCUCAACCCAGGAAGUGCACUCGAUACUGUAUGGCUCGAGUACUGGAGAGGUUGGUGGAAUUCUCGGUGUAGAGGUGAAAUUCGUAGAUAUCGAGAGGAACACCGGUGGCGAAGGCGGCCAACUGGACAGAUACUGACGCUGAGACACGAAAGCGUGGGGAGCAAACAGGAUUAGAUACCCGCGUAGUCC